rnacentral:rRNA from 1 species
AACGUAGGUGGCGAGCGUUAUCCGGAUUUACUGGGCGUAAAGCGUGUGCAGGCGGCCUAGCAAGUGGUGUAUGAAAUAUCCAGGCUCAACCUGGAGGGGUUAUGCCAGACUGCUCGGCUAGAGGGCGAGAGAGGGGCGUGGAAUUCCGGGUGUAGUGGUGAAAUGCGUAGAGAUCCGGAGGAACCCCAGAGGCGAAGGCGGCGCCCUGGCUCGCCACUGACGCUCAGACACGACAGCAUGGGGAGCGAACGGG